rnacentral:rRNA from 1 species
CGAAGGACCCGAGCGUUAUCCGGAUUUAUUGGGUUUAAAGGGUGCGUAGGCGUCCUGGAAAGUUACGGUUGAAAUCUCCUUGCUUAACAAGGAAACUGGCCGUAAAACUAUCAGGAUUGAGUACAUUUGAAGCGGGCGGAAUGUGUCAUGUAGCGGUGAAAUGCUUAGAUAUGACACAGAACACCAAUUGCGAAGGCAGCUCGCUAAACUGUAACUGACGCUGAGGCACGAAAGCGUGGGGAUCAAACAGGAUUAGAUACCCUGGUAGUCCACGCCCUAAACGAUGAUUACUCGAUGUGUGCGAUACACUGUACGCGUCUGAGCGAAAGCAUUAAGUAAUCCACCUGGGGAGUACGAUCGCAAGAUUG